AGUUUCCUUAGUGAAGUAUGGAGGCCAACAUCAGCCCCUGAGGACCAUUGUCAGGACUGCCAUGAGCAGGCAGCCUUGUUUUCCUGCCUCAGACAUUU
ensembl:snoRNA